CCCUAUGGGGUGCAGCAGUCGCGAAAACUCCGCAAUACACGAAAGUGUGACGGGGCCAUCCCGAGUGCCAUCCGCUGAGGAUGGCUUUUCUCUAGUGUAUAAAGCUGGGGGAAUAAGGAGAGGGCAAGCCUGGUGUCAGCCGCCGCGGUAAUACCAGCUCUCCGAGUGGUGGGGAUGCUUAUUGGGCCUAAAGCAUUCGUAGCUUGCUUGGCAAGUCCUCCGUUAAAUCCAACGAUUCAAUCGUUGGGCUGCGGGGGAUACUGUCCGGCUAGGGGGCGGGAGAGGCCGACGGUAUCCUCGGGGUAGGGGUGAAAUCCUAUAAUCCCGGGAGGACCACCAGUGGCGAAGGCUGUCGGCUAGAACGCGCUCGACGGUGAGGGAUGAAAGCUGGGGGAGCGAACCGGAUUAGAUACCCAGGUAGUCCCAGCUGUAAACGAUGCAGGCUAGGUGUUGGCGCGGCUACGUGCCGCUCCAGUGCCGCAGGGAAGCCGUUAAGCCUGCCGCCUGGGAAGUACGGCCGCAAGGCUGAAACUUAAAGGAAUUGGCGGGGGAGCACCACAAGGUGUGAAGCUUGCGGUUUAAUUGGAGUCAACGCCGGAAAUCUCACCGGGGGCGACAGCAGAAUGAAGGUCAGAUUGAAGGUCUUACCAGACAAGCUGAGAGGAAGUGCAUGGGCC
rnacentral:rRNA from 1 species